rnacentral:rRNA from 1 species
UCGAGUAGACCAAGGCGCUUGAGAGAACUCUGCUGAAGGAACUAGGCAAAAUGGUACCGUAACUUCGGGAGAAGGUACGCUGUUGUUGGUGAUGGAACUCGCUUCCUGAGCUGACGACAGCCGCAGAAACCAGGCCGCUGCAACUGUUUAUUAAAAACAUAGCACUCUGCAAACACGAAAGUGGACGUAUAGGGUGUGAUGCCUGCCCGGUGCUGGAAGGUUAAUUGAUGGGGUUAGCGUAAGCGAAGCUCUUGAUCGAAGCCCCAGUAAACGGCGGCCGUAACUAUAACGGUCCUAAGGUAGCGAAAUUCCUUGUCGGGUAAGUUCCGACCUGCACGAAUGGCAUAAUGAUGGCGGCGCUGUCUCCAGCAGAGGCUCAGUGAAAUCGAAAUCGCUGUGAAGAUGCAGUGUACCCGCGGCUAGACGGAAAGACCCCGUGAACCUUUACUGCAGCUUGACACUGAACUUUGACCUUACUUGUGUAGGAUAGGUGGGAGGCUUUGAAGCUGGAACGCUAGUUCCAGUGGAGCCGUCCUUGAAAUACCACCCUGGUAAUGUUGAGGUUCUAACUCUGUCCCGUGAUCCGGGACGAGGACCGUGUCUGGUGGGUAGUUUGACUGGGGCGGUCUCCUCCUAAAGAGUAACGGAGGAGUACGAAGGUGCGCUCAGCGUGGUCGGAAAUCACGCGUAGAGUAUAAAGGCAAAAGCGCGCUUAACUGCGAGACCCACAAGUCGAGCAGGUACGAAAGUAGGUCUUAGUGAUCCGGUGGUUCUGUAUGGAAGGGCCAUCGCUCAACGGAUAAAAGGUACUCUGGGGAUAACAGGCUGAUACCGCCCAAGAGUUCAUAUCGACGGCGGUGUUUGGCACCUCGAUGUCGGCUCAUCUCAUCCUGGGGCUGAAGCAGGUCCCAAGGGUAUGGCUGUUCGCCAUUUAAAGAGGUACGCGAGCUGGGUUUAGAACGUCGUGAGACAGUUCGGUCCCUAUCUACCGUGGGCGCUGGAAAUUUGAGAGGAUCUGCUCCUAGUACGAGAGGACCAGAGUGGACGAACCUCUGGUGUACCGGUUGUGACGCCAGUCGCAUCGCCGGGUAGCUAUGUUCGGAAGGGAUAACCGCUGAAAGCAUCUAAGCGGGAAGCCUACCUCAAGAUAAGAUUUCCCUAGGACUUUAUGUCCUCUAAAGAGCCGUUCGAGACUAGGACGUUGAUAGGUUGGAUGUGGAAGCAUAGUGAUAUGUGAAGCUGACCAAUACUAAUUGCUCGUGAGGCUUGACUAUACAACACCCAAGCAGUUG